GCGUGGGGCUUGUUGACAACUCCAAUGUUAACUGUUCUACAUGAAACAUUUCCUCAACAUACAUUCCUUAUGAAUGUUCUCAUUCAAGGUGUAAAGGUGGUACUUUGCGAUGAUUUCUGUGUCUGGAGUCUUCUUUGUCACAUUCUCUGUGAUAUUUGCCUAUGUAUCUGAUGUCACUCAAGAACACGAGUGAAGUACUACUUAUGGAUGGGUUCGUUGGCUACCCUAGUCAUAAUUAAAUUGACAUCAAACAGAUUACCAGGGGGGAAACGUUUAAUUUUGUACAGAGCUCCACAAAGACCUGAGAGGCCCAAAGGCAGUUGGGCAGUUGGAGCUGGUGUGCCAUCCUGCGCUGAGGAGAAAGGGGGGUGGGGCCUGGGGCUUCAGAGGGAAA